rnacentral:rRNA from 1 species
GACGAACGCUGGCGGCGUGCUUAACACAUGCAAGUCGAACGAUGAAGCCUUUCGGGGUGGAUUAGUGGCGAACGGGUGAGUAACACGUGGGUAAUCUGCCCUGCACUCUGGGAUAAGCCCGGGAAACUGGGUCUAAUACCGGAUAUGACUUUCUUACGCAUGUAGGAAGGUGGAAAGUUCCGGCGGUGCAGGAUGAACCCGCGGCCUAUCAGCUUGUUGGUGGGGUAAGUGGCCUACCAAGGCGACGACGGGUAGCCGGCCUGAGAGGGCGACCGGUCACACUGGGACUGAGACACGGCCCAGACUCCUACGGGAGGCAGCAGUGGGGAAUAUUGCACAAUGGGCGAAAGCCUGAUGCAGCGACGCCGCGUGAGGGAUGACGGCC